AUGGGGGGAGCUUGUUCGAGCGCCAGGAUUUAUAGACCUGGGAUUCUCAUUAACUUAAUGACUUCUUGUUUCUGUUACUCUAUGUACUUUAUUUGUAUUGAAUCUAUUUUUUUCAGUUCCGAGAUUAGGGAUGUUUAUUGUGCUCAAAAUUUUGAUUAUGAGUUUUUUUUCAAUAUAGGGAUGCCGAUGUUGGUUUCUUCGGCAGCCACCAUCAGGUUCGCUCAAUUUUUAUCCACAUGACUUUUUUCUUUCCGUUCACUUUAAUCAAGCCCCAUAACAUCCCUCUAUAAUUCUUGAAUUCUGUACUCCUUGACCGGCGGCAUCUCUUCGGCCCCAUCUCGAUGCAUAUGGGUUAUAAAAACGCAGAAUCGAUGCAUGUUUAUCGUUUUCUGUGGUUUAUAUAAGAAGUUUAUUAUUUGUUUGUGUUUACCUUUUCAUUUGUUAUAGGUUGCUGAUUGAGUUUAGGCCAUUUUUAGUUCUGCGGGAUUUUUACAGAAAUUUUGGACUGAUAUACAUUUAUCUUUGGAUGUCUGUAAUUUUAAAUUUGUAUUACAAUUCUAGGUUGAAAUUUUUGAACCCUUUUGUCUCCUCAUUUGAUGUAGAACGCACAAGAGAAUUUCCAAACGGGAGAAAAGAGGCACGAAGAAAGCGCAAGUAUUUAUUAUCUUUUACAGUAUUAUGUUAUUUUAUUUUUUCCAUUUUACGUGAUACUUGUGGUUCCUUCAUUACAUUUUUGCAGCCUAUUAUUUUGGAUUGACCUGUUUGCCUAAAAGGAUUGAACCAGCAGCUGACGGGGGAGUAGGAACAAGGUAAGUGAGAAGUUAUGUGUGGAUGAUCAACUGCUUUGGCGUUUGUGCAGUGUGAUGUUAUUUUUUGAAACUUGGUCUUCCUAUCGUAAAUUAUAUCUAUUUUGUAAGCAUGCUCCUUAUCUCAUGUUUUUGGUUUUUGUUUCGGUUUCGGUUUUAGUUUAGGCGAUGUUAUGUGAUUUGUAGAUUGGUUCAACUUCGGUGUUGUUUAGAAGCGAACAUAUGUUUUGGGCUCUGUGUUUCAUGUCUACUUAAAUUUACGAUUUUGUUGGAUGCCAUAUAUGCCUUCUUUUUAAUAUGUAACUUGCAUAAAUACACACUGGAAGUUGUUUUUGUUUUGUAAGCAUGCUCCUUAUCUCAUGGUUUCGGUUUCAAUUU